rnacentral:rRNA from 1 species
UACGUAGGGUGCAGGCGUUAAUCGGAAUUACUGGGCGUAAAGCGUGCGCAGGCGGCUCUUUAAGUCAGAUGUGAAAUCCCCGGGCUUAACCUGGGAACUGCGUUUGAAACUGAGGAGCUAGAGUGUGGAAGAGGGGGGUGGAAUUCCAGGUGUAGCAGUGAAAUGCGUAGAGAUCUGGAGGAACACCGAUGGCGAAGGCAGCCCCCUGGGCUGUCACUGACGCUCAUGCACGAAAGCGUGGGGAGCAAACAGG